UCUUCCCUCUGGCGGCGUGCCUAAUACAUGCAAGUCGAGCGAACAGACGAGGAGCUUGCUCCUCUGACGUUAGCGGCGGACGGGUGAGUAACACGUGGAUAACCUACCUAUAAGACUGGGAUAACUUCGGGAAACCGGAGCUAAUACCGGAUAAUAUAUUGAACCGCAUGGUUCAAUAGUGAAAGACGGUUUUGCUGUCACUUAUAGAUGGAUCCGCGCCGCAUUAGCUAGUUGGUAAGGUAACGGCUUGCCAAGGCGACGAUGCGUAGCCGACCUGAGAGGGUGAUCGGCCACACUGGAACUGAGACACGGUCCAGACUCCUACGGGAGGCAGCAGUAGGGAAUCUUCCGCAAUGGGCGAAAGCCUGACGGAGCAACGCCGCGUGAGUGAUGAAGGUCUUCGGAUCGUAAAACUCUGUUAUUAGGGAAGAACAUAUGUGUAAGUAACUAUGCACGUCUUGACGGUACCUAAUCAGAAAGCCACGGCUAACUACGUG
rnacentral:rRNA from 1 species